CAUAGUGUAGCUUAAUAUUAAAGCAUCUGGCCUACACCCAGAAGAUUUCAUGACCAAUGAACACUCUGA
rfam:Mus musculus 12S ribosomal RNA gene, partial sequence; and tRNA-Val gene, complete sequence; mitochondrial genes for mitochondrial products.